CCAGAAAGGAAAAAAGAAAAAAGAUUAAAAAAAAGAAAAAGAAGAAG
rnacentral:ribozyme from 1 species